GGACCUGAGAUUUUCUGGGCCACAGAUGAUUGUUAGAUUUUUGUUUGAAACGCCUACUGCAGUAUCAGUUUUGGAAUUAGAAGUCCUUGGAGGAAGUCGCAUAUUGUUCAGAGGAUUGACUGUAAUAAUAUAGCACUUGACACACUGCCUAUUGACUAAAAGAUGAGAAACAACUUCCAGAAGUGUUCUUGAGCUGUAAAUGUGCCUUUGACUGUGGUCAUCGCCAUUACCCCUGUGAAGGACGGGAAUUUUCCACACGAGUCUGAGAAGAUUAAAAUGGUGAAUGAGAG